rnacentral:rRNA from 1 species
AUUGAACGCUGGCGGCAGGCCUAACACAUGCAAGUCGAACGGUAACAGGAAACAGCUUGCUGUUUCGCUGACGAGUGGCGGACGGGUGAGUAAUGUCUGGGAAACUGCCUGAUGGAGGGGGAUAACUACUGGAAACGGUAGCUAAUACCGCAUAACGUCGCAAGACCAAAGAGGGGGACCUUCGGGCCUCUUGCCAUCGGAUGUGCCCAGAUGGGAUUAGCUAGUAGGUGGGGUAACGGCUCACCUAGGCGACGAUCCCUAGCUGGUCUGAGAGGAUGACCAGCCACACUGGAACUGAGACACGGUUCAGACUCCUACGGGAGGCAGCAGUGGGGAAUAUUGCACAAUGGGCGCAAGCCUGAUGCAGCCAUGCCGCGUGUAUGAAGAAGGCCUUCGGGUUGUAAAGUACUUUCAGCGGGGAGGAAGGGAGUGAAGUCAAUACCUUUGCUCAUUGACGUUACCCGCAGAAGAAGCACCGGCUAACUCCGUGCCAGCCGCCGCCGUAA